UCGUGCGCGUCGAACCAGUGAACCAACCAACCCAACCAGCGCUCUACGCCAACUAACGGUUAAAGAACACAGUUUUUGAAAUCAAACAAGCCAAAAAAAUUAAAUAAAGAAAUAAAAAAACUAAUGACCUCUCUAUUUCUUGUUCGAGUGUUUUUCUUAUCAGAAAAAAAGAGUUUCAACAAUAAUUCGCCUUUUUCUGUUGCAAUUUAAUUGACAAAGUUUUAAGAAUUUAGCGCUGUGCGUGUUUCCAACAUUGACUUGUCUGACAAAUUUCGAUUACAGUUAGAAUUUUCAGUGCACAUAAGACAAAAAACAAAUUCAAGUUUAUCAAUUCGUCGCAUCGCGCUAUAAACGGUAAACGUGCGUUAAUCUAAUUUGUAUUUAAUCUAUUUGCCAUCGCUGAAAAGUAACAACAGCCAGUUCACUCUGCUGCUGCUUGUGUACAUG